UACGUAGGGUGCGAGCGUUUAAUCGGAAUUACUGGGGCGUAAAGCGUGCGCAGGCGGUUUUGUAAGACCGAUGUGAAAUCCCCGGGCUCAACCUGGGAACUGCAUUGGUGACUGCAAGGCUUGAGUGUGUCAGAGGGAGGUGGAAUUCCGCGUGUAGCAGUGAAAUGCGUAGAUAUCUGGAGGAACACCGGUGGCGAAGGCGGCAUCCUGGACAAAUACCGACGCUGAGGCACGAAAGCUAGGGGAGCAAAACAGG
rnacentral:rRNA from 1 species